rnacentral:rRNA from 1 species
UACGUAGGGGGCUAGCGUUGUCCGGAAUCAUUGGGCGUAAAGAGCGUGUAGGCGGCUCGGUAAGUCCGCUGUAAAAGUCAAGGGCUCAACCUUUGAAUGUCAGUGGAUACUGCCGGGCUAGAGUCCGGAAGAGGCGAGUGGAACUCCUGGUGUAGCGGUGGAAUGCGCAGAUAUCAGGAGGAACACCAAUUGCGAAGGCAGCUCGCUGGGACGUUACUGACGCUGAGACGCGAAAGCGUGGGGAGCAAACAGG